AGAGUUUGAUCAUGGCUCAGGAUGAACGCUAGCUACAGGCUUAACACAUGCAAGUCGAGGGGAAACGAUAUUGGAAGCUUGCUUCCGAUAGGCGUCGACCGGCGCACGGGUGAGUAACGCGUAUCCAACCUGCCCAUCACUUGGGGAUAACCUUGCGAAAGUAAGACUAAUACCCAAUGACGUCUCUAGAAGACAUCUGAAGUAGAUUAAAGAUUUAUCGGUGAUGGAUGGGGAUGCGUCUGAUUAGCUUGUUGGCGGGGUAACGGCCCACCAAGGCAACGAUCAGUAGGGGUUCUGAGAGGAAGGUCCCCCACAUUGGAACUGAGACACGGUCCAAACUCCUACGGGAGGCAGCAGUGAGGAAUAUUGGUCAAUGGGCGAGAGCCUGAACCAGCCAAGUAGCGUGCAGGAAGACGGCCCUAUGGGUUGUAAACUGCUUUUAUAAGGGAAUAAAGUGAGUCUCGUGAGACUUUUUGCAUGUACCUUAUGAAUAAGGACCGGCUAAUUUCGUGCCAGCAGCCGCGGUAAUACGGAAGGUCCGGGCGUUAUCCGGAUUUAUUGGGUUUAAAGGGAGCGUAGGCCGGAGAUUAAGCGUGUUGUGAAAUGUAGACGCUCAACGUCUGCACUGCAGCGCGAACUGGUUUCCUUGAGUACGCACAAAGUGGGCGGAAUUCGUGGUGUAGCGGUGAAAUGCUUAGAUAUCACGAAGAACUCCGAUUGCGAAGGCAGCUCACUGGAGCGCAACUGACGCUGAAGCUCGAAAGUGCGGGUAUCGAACAGGAUUAGAUACCCUGGUAGUCCACGCCGUAAACGAUGAAUGCUAGGUGUUGGGGAGCAAAGCUCUUCGGUGCCGCCGCAAACGCAUUAAGCAUUCCACCUGGGGAGUACGUUCGCAAGAAUGAAACUCAAAGGAAUUGACGGGGACCCGCACAAGCGGUGGAGCAUGUGGUUUAAUUCGAAGCAACGCGAAGAACCUUACCAGGUCUUGACAUCCCGAUGACCGGCCCGUAACGGGGCCUUCUCUUCGGAGCAUUGGAGACAGGUGGUGCAUGGUUGUCGUCAGCUCGUGUCGUGAGAUGUUGGGUUAAGUCCCGCAACGAGCGCAACCCUUAUCCUCAGUAGCCAGCAGGUCAAGCUGGGCACUCUGUGGAGACUGCCAGGGAUAACCUGGAGGAAGGUGGGGAUGACGUCAAAUCAUCAUGCCCCUUAUGAUCUGGGCUACACACGUGCUACAAUGGCGUAAACAAAGGGAGGCAAAGCCGCGAGGUGGAGCAAAUCCCAAAAAUAACGUCUCAGUUCGGACUGCAGUCUGCAACUCGACUGCACGAAGCUGGAAUCGCUAGUAAUCGCGAAUCAGAAUGUCGCGGUGAAUACGUUCCCGGGUCUUGUACACACCGCCCGUCACACCAUGGGAGUUGGUAACGCCCGAAGUCAGUGACCCAACCUUUCAGGAGGGAGCUGCCGAAGGCGGGACUGAUAACUGGGGUGAAGUCGUAACAAGGUA
rnacentral:rRNA from 1 species